rnacentral:lncRNA from 1 species
UCGGCUGCAGGUGUAACAGAUGUAUUCCAUUUCAUCCUUUGAGUCAUCAAUUCAGAGAACCCGUGGCCAAGUCCCGUGCCUCUUAUCGGGAUAAUUACGUGGCUCAUAAAGAAAGGAAGCCUAAGUGGCUCUUGGCUCAACUGUCAGGAUGGCUGUCACCUCCUCCCUUCAGAAGCUCUAAGAUCAAGCUGCAGCUCAGCUGCCAUUUUGUCACUUGCUGAUGCUCUAGCAUUUUCCAUUGGGA